rnacentral:tRNA from 1 species
GCCUGGGUGGCUCAGUCGGUUGAGCGUCUGACUUUGGCUCAGGUCAUCAUCUCACGGUUCAUGAGUUUGAGCCCCGUGUCAGGCU